AAGCCCUGGAAACGGGGUCUAAUACCGGAUAACACCGGCUUCCGCAUGGGAGCUGGUUAAAAGCUCCGGCGGUGAAGGAUGAGCCCGCGGCCUAUCAGCUUGUUGGUGGGGUAAUGGCCUACCAAGGCGACGACGGGUAGCCGGCCUGAGAGGGCGACCGGCCACACUGGGACUGAGACACGGCCCAGACUCCUACGGGAGGCAGCAGUGGGGAAUAUUGCACAAUGGGCGAAAGCCUGAUGCAGCGACGCCGCGUGAGGGAUGACGGCCUUCGGGUUGUAAACCUCUUUCAGCAGGGAAGAAGCGAAAGUGACGGUACCUGCAGAAGAAGCGCCGGCUAACUACGUGCCAGCAGCCGCGGUAAUACGUAGGGCGCAAGCGUUGUCCGGAAUUAUUGGGC
rnacentral:rRNA from 1 species